GUUGCUGAGGGGAAAAGGGAAUUGGGAAGGGGGAGAAUGGGGGAAAGGGAGCGAGGAGAACGGGGGAAAAAGGAAUUCACAGGGGAAACAGGACGGAGGAGACGGGGGGAAAAGGGAAGGAGGAGAUGGGGGGAAAGGGAAGGAGGAGGAGACGGGGGGAAAAGGGAAGGAGGAGAUGGGAAAAGGGAAGGAGGAGAUGGGGGGAAAGGGACUCCACAGCAGGAACAGGGACUCCACAGCGGGAAGAAGGGACUCCACAGCGACAAAAGGGCCAGGAGGCGGGCAGAAGGGCCUCGGCCUGCUUGCAGCUCAUCCCAUUGCCCCCAGCCCAGCCGUGCAGCUGAUCCCAGCCCCCUGCAGGGCCUCCCUGCCCUCAGGCGGAUCCGCACCACCUCCCAGCUGGGUGUCAGCUGCAAACUCCCCGAGGCUGCGCUCCGUUUUCCUCCAGCUCAGCCACGAAGACUUUCACCAGCACGGGCCCAGCACCGACCCGGGGGCGGCCCUGCAAGCGGCUCUGCUGGGCUCCUCCGCCCCACACGGGAGUCCUCCGGCCCCACACCGAGGUCCGCCACCCCACAAGUGAGUCCUCCUGCCGCACAAGUGAGUCCUCCGGCCCCACACCCGAGGUCCUCAAGCCACAGAACUCAGUCCUCCAGCCCCACAGCGAGGUCCUCCACACUGCACUUGAGGUCCGCCAGGACCGCCUUCAAGUCCUCCAGCCCCACAUCCCACUCCUCCAGUCCCAUAAUUGAGGCCUCCUGCCCCACAUCUCAGUUCUGCAGCCCCACAAGUGAGUCCUCCUGCCCCACAUCCCAGUCCUCCGGCCCCACAAGGGAGUCCUCCUGCCCCACAAGGGAGUCCUCCGGCCCCACAGCCGAGGUCUGCCAGCCACAUAUCCUGGUCCUCCUGCCCCACAGCAAGGUCCUCCAGCCCCACAGCAAGGUCCUCCAGGGCAGCCCCCAAGGUCCUCCAGCCCCAGAAGCAAGUCCUCCAGCCCCACAAGGGAGUCCUCCACCCUUUAUUUGAGCCCUCCAGCCCCACACCCCGGUCUUCCAGCACCACAAUUGAGUCCUCCAGCCCCACAUCCCAGUCCUCCAGACCUGUGAGUGACUCCACCAGCCCCACACCCAAGUCCUCCAGCCCCACAGCCCAGGUCCUCCUGCACCAUAAGAGAGUUUUGCAGCCCCACACCAAGGUCCUCCAGCUGCAAAUCCCAGUCCUCCAGCCCC
rnacentral:lncRNA from 1 species